CCCUUAGAUGUUCUGGGCCGCACGCGUGCUACACUGAACGGUUCAAUGGGUAAGGUAGUGCGAAAGCAUGACCUAAUCUCGAAAUCCGUUCGUGCUGGGGAUAGAAGCUUGCAAUUAUCCUUCUUGAACGAGGAAUACCUUGUAAGCGCGAGUCAUCAUCUCACGCUGAAUACGUCCCUGCCCUUUGUACACACCGCCCGUCGCUCCUACCGAUUGAGUGUUCCGGUGAGGCUUUGGGAGAAUGGCCUCAACAUGAGUUUAUCGUGUUUUGCCGUUUGAACUUAGUCAAACCUUAUCACUUAGAGGAAGGAGAAGUCGUAACA
rnacentral:rRNA from 1 species